AGGUAUAAAAGCCCUCACAGGAGCUGUACCUGCUUGCAUCCUCUGGCUUAAGUGUAAGCAAAUUCAGCGUGUUGCAAAAGGGAUCUGCCCUGUGUCAGAGAUGAUGUCUGAGAUUGAGGCUUUCCAAUGGCAGACCAAGAAGCUAACCGGUGAUCGCGGGGCCUUCUGAGAUGGCCGAGGCGGACUCAUUUCAUGUCCGACGUGGAUUCAUG